GGGGGCUCGCAAGAGCAACCGGCAGACGAGGUAGUAAUAAGUAGGUACGUCCCUUCAAGUCGCGAAUAGCCCGUCGAAAGACGGGGUAAUACGCGAUAGUCUCUACGGAGUAAAGAUUUAUCGCUUGAAGAACGGCCUGCUCGGUAUCAGCUAGUUGGCGGUGUAAAAGACCACCAAGGCUAUGACGCCUAGGGGAGCUGAGAGGCUGACCCCCACCGAUGGGGCUGAGAUACGGCCCAUACACCUACGGGUGGCUGCAGCCGAGAAUAUUCCACAAUGGACGAAAGUCUGAUGGAGCGACGCCGCGUGCAGGAUGAAGUUCUUCGGGAUGUAAACUGCUUUUAUGAGCGAGAAAGUUUAUUGAUCAGCUCAUGAAUAAGAGGUUGCUAAACUCGUG
rnacentral:rRNA from 1 species